ACAUAUCGUCGCUGUCCGAUGAAAACCGCGUAUGUCCAUUUUUGCCGAUUUUGAGAUUUUACGAUGAUAGUUAUGUCCAGGUUCAUUUCCGUAUACAGUAUGCGUCAUGAACCUAAUUGACCAAUGAAAAGUUGUGAAACACGUCAUCUGAUUUUCAAGUAUAUCCAUUUGGUGUCAAAGCUGUCAGUCCCGCCGCGUAUCUCCCGCCCUGUGGAGUCAUCUCAUUAGCGUCUCUGGAAGCGCAUCAUCGGGUAGCCGAAUAACACUUUGAAGGAUGUCUUUCUCUCUUAAGGAGAUGUGUGAAAUGGUCAAUGUCAGGUAUGAUAGGGUACUUGAGGCGAACGUGAGGGUCAACAAUGAGGAGGAAGAUUCAGUUGAAAGUGACGGUGCAAAUACAGCUGCCAAUGAGGAUUCUCUGGAAAGUGAUAAUGACAAUCACUCUGAAAGUGCCAGUGAUGACUCACUUGAACACGAUCCUGAAAAUGACCCGGAAUACACACCUGUCAAUGAAGAUGCUGUUGAUGUUGAUGUUGCUGUUGACCGGGGAAGGUCAAGAAAGAGGGCCAACCCAGACGCUUGGAAGGGUAACAUUCAGAAAAGGAGAAGAAUGAGGGGCCAAUCAUAUCUUGGACGAAAAAAAAAUGAAUUCAUCAACAUAGAAGAAAGAAAAAUGGAGGGGCGGUGCCUGGCUGAGGCCUGCCGGAAAUCCAGCAAACUACACUGCACCGAAAUCGAUGAAGGGAAGAGGGAAAAAAUAUUCAAGUAUUUUUGGGGGAAAUUGGACUGGAAAGAAAGGAAAAUCUAUGUGAAGUCACUGGUGGAGGUGAGUGAUGUCAAGCGGCGCCGGACAGAAGCGGUUCAGUCUCGGAGGUCAGCAUCUCUCUGUUGUUUUUUAUGUGUUGAUGGUAAAAGGCUCAGAGUUUGUCAGCGGAUGUUCCUGUCGACCCUUGGCAUCAAGCAGUGGAGUGUUCUAAAAUGGGUUGGAAGAAGAGAUGAAAGUCCUGAGAAGACGGCAAGAGUGAGGGUGAGGACAGAGGAGCGGGACUUCCUAAAGUCCUUUCUUCUUGAACUGCCGAAAGUACCAUCGCACUACUGUAGGUCCUCCUCUUCCAAGAUGUACCUGGAGCCUUUAUUCAAAUCAAUCAAUCAUCUCCACUCACAAUAUAAGCAGGCAUGUGCAGCCAACGGCAUCCAGGCUCUGUCAAGACAAGUGUUCAGUAACACCUUUAAAGAAUUAAAUCUGUCAUUGUUCCAUCCAAAAAAAGAUCAGUGUGACACUUGCUGUGCCUUCAAAGCCGGGAACAUCGAGGCUGCUGUGUGGGAGGAACACUGCGUUAAGAAGGACGAGGCACGAGCAGAAAAGGAUAGGGACAAGCAACUUGCAAAUAACACCACCUUGGUUGCAUGCAUGGAUCUGCAGGGCCUUCUCCUCUGCCCAAAGCUUCAAGCGUCUGCCCUCUAUUUCAAAAUGAAGCUGAGUGUCCAUAAUUUUACCAUCUACAAUAUGGCAUCACAUGAAGCGACAAAUUACCUUUGGCAUGAGGGUGAGGGGGGGGUCUCUGCCAAUGAGUUUGCCUCCUGCAUUGUGGACUAUCUUGAAACACACCUCACUUACACUGAAUUCAUUCUUUGGAGUGAUGGGUGUGGUUAUCAAAACCGAAACCUGGUCCUGAGCAAUGCCCUCUUAAAGUUUGCCACUGAAAGAAAAAAAAAAGCAAGUGACGCAGAAGUACCUUCAAAGAGGCCACACACAGAUGGAAUGUGACUCUGUGCACAGUGUGAUCGAAAGAAAGCUAAGGAACCGAGAUGUACAUGUUCCAGCUGAGUAUGCUGCAGU
ensembl:lncRNA